GUCUGUAUAGAUUAAAAAAAUCGUAAUGCUGUUAACUUUAAGAUGGGAUGCGUCUCUACAGUCG
rnacentral:tRNA from 1 species